CCUACGGGUGACAGCAGUGAGGAAUAUUGGUCAAUGGGCGCGAGCCUGAUCCAGCCACGUAGCGUGAAGGAUGACUGCUCUCCGGGUUGUAAGCUUCUUCUAUAAAGGAAUAAAGUGCGGCACGUGUGCCUGUUUGUCUGUCCUUUAUGAAUCAGGCUCGGCUAACUCCGUGCCAGCAGCCGCGGUAAUACGGAGGUUCCGAGCGUUAUCCGGAUUUAUGGGGUUUAAAGGGAGCGUAGAUGGUUUGUUAAGUCAGUUGUGAAAGUUUGCGGCUCAACCGUAAAAUUGCAAUGGAUACUGGCAGCCUUGAGUACAGGUGGGGUAGGCGGAAUUCGUGGUGUAGCGGUGAAAUGCGUAGAUAUCACGAAGAACUCCGAUUGCGAAGGCAGCCUACUAAACUGCCACUGACAUUGAUGCUCGAAAGUGUGGGUAUCAAACAGGAUUAGAUACCCGUGUAGUC
rnacentral:rRNA from 1 species